rnacentral:rRNA from 2 species
UCUUGGUCAUUUAGAGGAAGUAAAAGUCGUAACAAGGUUUCCGUAGGUGAACCUGCGGAAGGAUCAUUAAAGAGUAAGGGUGCUCAGCGCCCGACCUCCAACCCUUUGUUGUUAAAACUACCUUGUUGCUUUGGCGGGACCGCUCGGUCUCGAGCCGCUGGGGAUUCGUCCCAGGCGAGCGCCCGCCAGAGUUAAACCAAACUCUUGUUAUUAAACCGGUCGUCUGAGUUAAAAUUUUGAAUAAAUCAAAACUUUCAACAACGGAUCUCUUGGUUCUCGCAUCGAUGAAGAACGCAGCGAAAUGCGAUAAGUAAUGUGAAUUGCAGAAUUCAGUGAAUCAUCGAAUCUUUGAACGCACAUUGCGCCCCUUGGUAUUCCGAGGGGCAUGCCUGUUCGAGCGUCAUUACACCACUCAAGCUAUGCUUGGUAUUGGGUGCCGUCCUUAGUUGGGCGCGCCUUAAAGACCUCGGCGAGGCCUCACCGGCUUUAGGCGUAGUAGAAUUUAUUCGAACGUCUGUCAAAGGAGAGGACUUCUGCCGACUGAAACCUUUUAUUUUUCUAGGUUGACCUCGGAUCAGGUAGGGAUACCCGCUGAACUUAAGCAUAUCAAUAAGCGGAGGAA